rnacentral:lncRNA from 1 species
CGCUGCUCAGCAUCCGCGAUGGCCUCUGAGGCCCUCAAUCUCAGCAUGGACCCCGCUGAUGUUGCGGAUCAUCUCAGAGUUCUCCAUCUUCCCGCGACGCAGGUCAUCCCCGUGCUUCCCAGCCAGUGUCUGCAACUCCUCAUCCUUGACCUGGUGCAGACUCUUAGCCUUGCCUGGCCGCAGUGGGCGAUCUCCUCGUACUGGGCGUUGACCUCCGCGAUGAUGCCAUCCACGUCCAGGGAGUGGCUGUUGUCCAUGGACAGCACACAGACGUGUCCGAGAUCUGGGACUGCAGCUUCCAGAUCUCCUCUUCACACAGCUCUCUGGGGAAGUUGAUCUUGUCAGUCAGCCCUUCCAGCAGCCCCUGCGUGUUGCCAAGAUCUGCCUCCACCUUCAGCUUCUCCUGGCCCAGUGUCCAGCUGCUGCCCAAGGCUGUGGAUGUGGCUCUCAAACACGCUGUCCAUGUUGCUCCCAGCUGUCUUCUGCUGCUGCAGGAUGCUCCACUUAGUCUCCAGCAUUUGUUCUGCUGCUCCAGGAACUGCACCUUGUCGAUGAAGGAGGCAAACUUGUUGAGGGUCUUGAUCUGCUCCUUCUCCUGGGUAUGCACAGCCUGGAUAUUGGGGUCCAGGUCCAGCUUAAGGGGGCUCAGCAGACUCUGGUUCACCAUGAUGGCUGUGUCGCCCACCCCCACCCCAUACCACUGCCCCACCAUAGCCACCACCCAGACUCAUGCUGGUGCCUAGGCCACUCCAGAAGCUGCUGCUGCUGCCCACUUGGGAGAAGCUCAAGGAGCUGAUGUGGGCACCGGGACCACUGGUGUAGGAGCGGCUGCUGAAGGCCCAGGGGCCAGAGAUGGAUGCCUUGUAGGGCUUCUGGGUCACCGUGAUGGACACGAUGGAGGCAGGAGUGGAGGUAGGCAGGCCGAACCAGAUGUAGAUUCAAGGAUGGAGAAGCUUCCUCUAGGUCAGCCCUUGUUUUCCAGAAGGGGGCGGUAAUCUCACCUUCCCAGAUUAGGCAGUUGUUUUUUUCUCUGUAUGUUCUGCUCUGGGAGAAGGCACUGUAUAUGGUCUCCUUGCUCACAAGUGGAAUCUUAUUUAUCUUGCUGUGGCCUUGGGAACUUGGCAACUACAGUUGGGUCACAGCAUUGUGGGGAAACUUCCACUUUUGUGUCAUUAACACAACAGUGGUUGCAAAAGAUAGAAUCAUUAGUGCCCUGGAGAUCUAGAUACACGCCUUGACAGAAUCAUGAGUGCCCUAGAGAUCUAGAUACAUGCCUUGAUAGAAUCAUGAGUGCCCUGGAGAUCUAGACAUACGCCUUCCCAGGUCCAGGCAAUAGUGGUGGGGGAUUUCAGGUAGAAUCCAUCAAGUGCACGACAGAAAUUUCCACCUAAUGGUCGGGGUCUGGGUACUUUGAGAUUGCUAUGGAUGGUGAAGAGGGCUAGGGAGUUAGCCAAGAGAGUUUUUGGAUCGGCCAGAAGGUGAAAUUC